GAUGAACGCUGGCGGCGUGCUUAACACAUGCAAGUCGAACGGUGAACACGGAGCUUGCUCUGUGGGAUCAGUGGCGAACGGGUGAGUAACACGUGAGCAACCUGCCCCUGACUCUGGGAUAAGCGCUGGAAACGGCGUCUAAUACUGGAUACGAACCACGAAGGCAUCUUCAGUGGUUGGAAAGAAUUUCGGUUGGGGAUGGGCUCGCGGCCUAUCAGCUUGUUGGUGAGGUAAUGGCUCACCAAGGCGUCGACGGGUAGCCGGCCUGAGAGGGUGACCGGCCACACUGGGACUGAGACACGGCCCAGACUCCUACGGGAGGCAGCAGUGGGGAAUAUUGCACAAUGGGCGAAAGCCUGAUGCAGCAACGCCGCGUGAGGGAUGACGGCCUUCGGGUUGUAAACCUCUUUCAGCAGGGAAGAAGCGAAAGUGACGGUACCUGCAGAAAAAGCACCGGCUAACUACGUGCCAGCCGCCGCGGUAACAC
rnacentral:rRNA from 1 species